rnacentral:rRNA from 1 species
GAUGAACGCUGGCGGCGUGCUUAACACAUGCAAGUCGAACGAUGAAGCCCAGCUUGCUGGGUGGAUUAGUGGCGAACGGGUGAGUAACACGUGAGUAACCUGCCCUUAACUCUGGGAUAAGCCUGGGAAACUGGGUCUAAUACCGGAUAGGAGCGUCCACCGCAUGGUGGGGGUUGGAAAGAUUUAUCGGUUUUGGAUGGACUCGCGGCCUAUCAGCUUGUUGGUGAGGUAAUGGCUCACCAAGGCGACGACGGGUAGCCGGCCUGAGAGGGUGACCGGCCACACUGGGACUGCGACACGGCCCAGACUCCUACGGGAGGCAGCAGUGGGGAAUAUUGCACAAUGGGCGAAAGCCUGAUGCAGCGACGCCGCGUGAGGGAUGACGGCCUUCGGGUUGUAAACCUCUUUCAGUAGGGAAGAAGCGAAAGUGACGGUACCUGCAGAAGAAGCACCGGCUAACUACGUG